CAAUCUUUGACGCAAAUUGCGCUCUUGGGUUAGCCCUAGGAGCACGCCUCUCUCAGUAUCGGUUCAACAACCUCUCAGCAGCGUAAUUGGUAAAACAAUUUCGUGUUAGCUGGAUAAUGAGAGUCUGACUUUCACAAGUUAGUCUCUUUAAAUUCAUUGAGUGAGCAUCAUAUUCUCUAACGCGUACCUUCGGGUACAAGCUAGUCUUCGACUGGUUGUUGAGAGUGACGUGAAUACUGACCUUUAUUGGUCUCACAUUUACGUGUAACUUUCUAAUGACUAUUUAAAGUUGUUGAUUAGUGUUAUUGAAGCUUUGUUCAUGUAACGCGGCCGUCAAAAGCUGCAAUCGGCUAGAGUUUCGACUUUGGUCUGAAUUUUGAUCUGAGAUGAAGCGAGACAACCCCCUGAAUUUAAGCAUAUUAAUAAGGGGAGGAAAAGAAACUAACAAGGAUUCCCUUAGUAACGGCGAGUGAAGCGGGAAGAGCUCAAUUUGAAAAUCGACUACCUAAGCGGGUCGUCGAGUUGUAGCCUAUAGACGUACUAUCAGCUGGAACCUGGGUAUAAGUUCUUUGGAAUGAGGCAUCAUAGAGGGUGAGAAUCCCGUAUAUGACCCAAAGCUUUCAGCGUACGAUGUAUGUUCAUCGAGUCGAGUUGUUUGGGAUUGCAGCUCUAAAUGGGUGGUAGUUUCA
rnacentral:rRNA from 1 species